GCACUCUUUCAGAUCUACUCAGAGGAUUGCAGACAAGGCAGUAUUGAACAACCCAAUCACUGAGCUAUAUGAAGUUAGGAACAUAUAGUGAGCUAUCUCUCACAGUGAAAAGUGUGGGUUUUCUUGAAGCACCAUAAAUCCAGAGAAUCCCAGAUUAUGAUGACAAAGUGUGAUGAGAAAAUUUGCCUACGAAGGAUCACCGCGCCACCUUCCUGUUCAAGUGAGCACAGUACAACAAGGGGCAGUGCUAGCAGGUCUAAGGAUCAGCAAACACGGAGAGCCGGGUUGCUGUCUUUCAUGGUCCUUCUGUUACCGGAUUUGUGACUUGCUAGCACCACUACGGCAGCCUCUUGGGGACACACGGUGUACCUGACAUACUGUACAGCCCACCUGCAGUCCAGGAAAGGACCGUACAAGUGAUCAGCGGACCUAUUGCGGGAUAUAUCACCUCCUCUGCCCAGAAACGUUGCUGAGUGCAUCCAGUGGAGGGACUGAGUUUGGACGUACCUCCUUUGUCACUUUGCUAGGGAUGAACUGGGCCCACACCUACGGAAGUGCCAUCCCACCGUGGUCCUGCAGCAUAGCCGCAACAUAGCAAGCACAGGACGUCUCCGGUCAGGUAUAUUGCCUACCAUUACCCCGUCUCCUCCCCAUUGUCACGUGGUGGACUGCAACAAGGGGACAUGUGGGAGCGGUGCUCCUCUGAGCUAUUUCCCAGUGCCUAGAACAAAACAGGACGGCCCCAACAUUGGGGACGCCACUUGCAGCCCGCAGGGAGGUUCUGCUGCCUCCCAGGCUCUAUAUAGCAGAGCAGGAACCUCUUCCACCACACCCAGCACCACAGAUCCUUCUGUUUUACUGCUCGCCUGUGGCCCAGAAACCUCCAGGAUUGCAGACAGUCCGGUCACAACCUAAGUCGACCCAAGCGAACCCUGGGACUAGAACCCAGCCCAGAUCGGUGCUCGAGCCAACACUUGAGACAGCACCCCCACCUAGCCAAGGGCCGCAGGCCCCAUUACUACGCCAGCAGCAGCCCGAACCCCGGCUGACCCAGCAGUCAUCGGCCCUCCAGUCCACCCGGCAGCGACUAGCACUGGAGUCCUCAACGGCGCAAUCUAUCCCGCAGACAUAUUUGUUCUUGUCUCCGCCCCCCUUCAGGUGUCGCCCAUCUUCCUCAUUAUCCCCAGUGUAUUUAUACUUGUGUUCUCUGUUUGUCUGUUGCCAGUUUGUCUUGUCUGGUCAGGUCUUACCAGCGUGUUUUCCCCGUCUCCCUGCUGGUUCAUGUUCUGUUCACUAGUUUCCCCAGUUCUGACCAUUCUGCCUGCCCUGACCCUGCCUGCUGUUCUGUACCUGCCUGACUCUGACCCGUUUACAAACCUCUGCCUGUUCUGAGCCUGCAUGCAUUUCUGUACCUUAUCGACUCUGCCCUGGCUUACAGACCUUUGCCUGCCUUUGACCUGUCUUUUGCCUGCCCCCUGUUUGUGUCAUGUUUUGUCUUAUAUUGUCUUGUCAUUUUGCUUUUCCUUCUGUUCGUUUUCCCCCUGCUGGUCUUAGGUU